rnacentral:rRNA from 1 species
UACGGAGGGAGCUAGCGUUGUUUGGAAUUACUGGGCGUAAAGCGCGCGUAGGCGGCUUUGUAAGUUAGAGGUGAAAGCCCGGGGCUCAACCCCGGAAUUGCCUUUAAGACUGCAUCGCUUGAAUCCGGGAGAGGUGAGUGGAAUUCCGAGUGUAGAGGUGAAAUUCGUAGAUAUUCGCAAGAACACCAGUGGCGAAGGCGGCUUACUGGUCCGAUACUGACGCUGAGGCACGAAAGCGUGGGGAGCAAACAGG